UAUCUUCGGGGCAGGGUGAAAUUCCCUACCGGCAGUGAAAGUCUGCGAGCCGGACGGAGCGACAGCUCCGCGCGGCCGACGGGGUGCAAUUCCCCGACCGACGGUGAAAGUCCGGAUGAGAGAAGAA
rnacentral:ncRNA from 1 species